CCUACGGGAGGCAGCAGUGGGGAAUAUUGCACAAUGGGGGAAACCCUGAUGCAGCAACGCCGCGUGAGUGAUGACGGCCUUCGGGUUGUAAAGCUCUGUCUUCAGGGACGAUAAUGACGGUAUCUGAGGAGGAAGCCACGGAGAACAACGUGCCAGCAGGCGCGGGAAUAUGCAGGUGGCGAGCGUUGUCCGGAUUUACUGGGCGUAAAGGGAGCGUAGGCGGGCUUUUAAGUGAGAUGUGAAAUACUCGGGUUAAACUUGAGAGUUGCAUUUCAAACUGUAAGUCUAGAGUGCAGGAGAGGAGGAUGGAAUUCCUGGUGUAGCGGUGAAAUGCGUAGAGAUUAGGAAGAACACCAGUGGCGAAGGCGAUUCUCUGGACUGUAACUGACGCUGAGGCUCGAAAGCGUGGGGAGCAAACAGGAUUAGAUACCCUUGUAGUC
rnacentral:rRNA from 1 species